AGAGUUUGAUCCUGGCUCAGGACGAACGCUGGCGGCGUGCCUAAUACAUGCAAGUAGAACGCUGAAGAGAGGAGCUUGCUCUUCUUGGAUGAGUUGCGAACGGGUGAGUAACGCGUAGGUAACCUGCCUGGUAGCGGGGGAUAACUAUUGGAAACGAUAGCUAAUACCGCAUAAUAGCAGUUAUUGCAUGAUAACUGUUUGAAAGGUGCAAUUGCACCACUACCAGAUGGACCUGCGUUGUAUUAGCUAGUUGGUGAGGUAACGGCUCACCAAGGCGACGAUACAUAGCCGACCUGAGAGGGUGAUCGGCCACACUGGGACUGAGACACGGCCCAGACUCCUACGGGAGGCAGCAGUAGGGAAUCUUCGGCAAUGGACGGAAGUCUGACCGAGCAACGCCGCGUGAGUGAAGAAGGUUUUCGGAUCGUAAAGCUCUGUUGUAAGAGAAGAACGGGUGUGAGAGUGGAAAGUUCACACUGUGACGGUAUCUUACCAGAAAGGGACGGCUAACUACGUGCCAGCAGCCGCGGUAAUACGUAGGUCCCGAGCGUUGUCCGGAUUUAUUGGGCGUAAAGCGAGCGCAGGCGGUUAGAUAAGUCUGAAGUUAAAGGCUGUGGCUUAACCAUAGUAUGCUUUGGAAACUGUUUAACUUGAGUGCAGAAGGGGAGAGUGGAAUUCCAUGUGUAGCGGUGAAAUGCGUAGAUAUAUGGAGGAACACCGGUGGCGAAAGCGGCUCUCUGGUCUGUAACUGACGCUGAGGCUCGAAAGCGUGGGGAGCAAACAGGAUUAGAUACCCUGGUAGUCCACGCCGUAAACGAUGAGUGCUAAGUGUUGGUCUCAUAAGAGAUCAGUGCUGCAGCUAACGCAUUAAGCACUCCGCCUGGGGAGUACGACCGCAAGGUUGAAACUCAAAGGAAUUGACGGGGGCCCGCACAAGCGGUGGAGCAUGUGGUUUAAUUCGAAGCAACGCGAAGAACCUUACCAAGUCUUGACAUACUGUGAGGACAGAAGAGAUUGUGUUGUUCUGACCUAUGGUUAGACACAGAUACAGGUGGUGCAUGGUUGUCGUCAGCUCGUGUCGUGAGAUGUUGGGUUAAGUCCCGCAACGAGCGCAACCCUUAUUGUUAGUUGCCAUCAUUCAGUUGGGCACUCUAGCGAGACUGCCGGUAAUAAACCGGAGGAAGGUGGGGAUGACGUCAAAUCAUCAUGCCCCUUAUGACCUGGGCUACACACGUGCUACAAUGGCUGGUACAACGAGUCGCAAGCCGGUGACGGCAAGCUAAUCUCUGAAAGCCAGUCUCAGUUCGGAUUGUAGGCUGCAACUCGCCUACAUGAAGUCGGAAUCGCUAGUAAUCGCGGAUCAGCACGCCGCGGUGAAUACGUUCCCGGGCCUUGUACACACCGCCCGUCACACCACGAGAGUUUGUAACACCCGAAGUCGGUGAGGUAACCAUUUGGAGCCAGCCGCCUAAGGUGGGAUAGAUGAUUGGGGUGAAGUCGUAACAAGGUAGCCGUAUCGGAAGGUGCGGCUG
rnacentral:rRNA from 1 species